GGAUUCCCCUAGUAACUGCGAGUGAAGCGGGAAAAGCUCAAAUUUAGAAUCUGGCAGCCUACGGUUGUCCGAGUUGUAGCCUAGAGAAGCGUUUUCUGCGUUGGACCAUGUACAAGUCCCUUGGAACAGGGCGUCAUAGAGGGUGAGAAUCCCGUACUUGACAUGGACUCCCAGGGCUAUGUGAUGCGCUCUCGAAGAGUCGGGUUGUUUGGGAAUGCAGCUCUAAAUGGGUGGUAAAUUCCAUCUAAAGCUAAAUAUUGGCGAGAGACCGAUAGCGAACAAGUACCGUGAGGGAAAGAUGAAAAGCACUUUGGAAAGAGAGUUAAACAGUACGUGAAAUUGUUGAAAGGGAAACGCUUGAAGUCAGUCGCGUCGGCCGGGACUCAGCCUUGAACGGUGCACUUCCCGGUGGACGGGCCAGCAUCAGUUUUGAUCGUCGGAAAAGGGUUUGAGGAAUGUGGCACCUUCGGGUGUGUUAUAGCCUCUUGCCGCACGCGACGGUUGGGACUGAGGAUCGCAGCUUCGGCUUAGGAUGCUGGCGUAAUGGCUUUAAACGACCCGCU
rnacentral:rRNA from 1 species